AGUGAACGCUGGCGGCAGGCCUAAUACAUGCAAGUCGAACGGCAGUACAGCAGAGCUUGCUCUGUGGGUGGCGAGUGGCGGACGGGUGAGGAAUACAUGGGAAUCUGCCCAGUCGUGGGGGAUAACGUAUGGAAACGUACGCUAAUACCGCAUGCGCCCUACGGGGAAAGUCGGGGACCGCAAGGCCUGACGCGAUUGGAUGAGCCCAUGUUCGAUUAGCUAGUUGGCGGGGUAAAGGCCCACCAAGGCGACGAUCGAUAGCUGGUCUGAGAGGAUGAUCAGCCACACUGGAACUGAGACACGGUCCAGACUCCUACGGGAGGCAGCAGUAGGGAAUAUUGGGACAAUGGGCGCAAGCCUGAUCCAGCCAUGCCGCGUGAGUGAAGAAGG
rnacentral:rRNA from 1 species